AAACUAUUUAUUAAAUUGUUUUGAAAACAGUUUAAGGAUUUUAUCCGUAGUUUU
rnacentral:tRNA from 1 species